rnacentral:rRNA from 1 species
GACAGAGGGUGCAAACGUUGUUCGGAAUCACUGGGCGUAAAGCGUGUGUAGGCGGCUCCAAAAGUCGGAUGUGAAAGCCCCGAGCUCAACUUGGGAAGUGCAUUCGAUACUGUGGAGCUUGAGUACUGGAGAGGUUGGUGGAAUUCUCGGUGUAGAGGUGAAAUUCGUAGAUAUCGGGAAGAACAUCGGUGGCGAAGGCGGCCAACUGGACAGAUACUGACGCUGAGACACGAAAGCGUGGGGAGCAAACAGG